ACUGGCGCUGUGGCUCGAUGCGGCA
rnacentral:piRNA from 1 species